UGCAGUCGAGCGGACAGAAGGGAGCUUGCUCCCGGAUGUUAGCGGCGGACGGGUGAGUAACACGUGGGUAACCUGCCUGUAAGACUGGGAUAACUCCGGGAAACCGGAGCUAAUACCGGAUAGUUCCUUGAACCGCAUGGUUCAAGGAUGAAAGACGGUUUCGGCUGUCACUUACAGAUGGACCCGCGGCGCAUUAGCUAGUUGGUGGGGUAAUGGCUCACCAAGGCGACGAUGCGUAGCCGACCUGAGAGGGUGAUCGGCCACACUGGGACUGAGACACGGCCCAGACUCCUACGGGAGGCAGCAGUAGGGAAUCUUCCGCAAUGGACGAAAGUCUGACGGAGCAACGCCGCGUGAGUGAUGAAGGUUUUCGGAUCGUAAAGCUCUGUUGUUAGGGAAGAACAAGUGCGAGAGUAACUGCUCGCACCUUGACGGUACCUAACCAGAAAGCCACGGCUAACUACGUGCCAGCAGCCGCGGUAAUACGUAGGUGGCAAGCGUUGUCCGGAAUUAUUGGGCGUAAAGGGCUCGCAGGCGGUUUCUUAAGUCUGAUGUGAAAGCCCCCGGCUCAACCGGGGAGGGUCAUUGGAAACUGGGAAACUUGAGUGCAGAAGAGGAGAGUGGAAUUCCACGUGUAGCGGUGAAAUGCGUAGAGAUGUGGAGGAACACCAGUGGCGAAGGCGACUCUCUGGUCUGUAACUGACGCUGAGGAGCGAAAGCGUGGGGAGCGAACAGGAUUAGAUACCCUGGUAGUCCACGCCGUAAACGAUGAGUGCUAAGUGUUAGGGGGUUUCCGCCCCUUAGUGCUGCAGCUAACGCAUUAAGCACUCCGCCUGGGGAGUACGGUCGCAAGACUGAAACUCAA
rnacentral:rRNA from 1 species